GAUGAACGCUGGCGGCGUGCCUAAUACAUGCAAGUCGAGCGAACAGAUGAGGAGCUUGCUCCUCUGACGUUAGCGGCGGACGGGUGAGUAACACGUGGAUAACCUACCUAUAAGACUGGGAUAACUUCGGGAAACCGGAGCUAAUACCGGAUAAUAUAUUGAACCGCAUGGUUCAAUAGUGAAAGACGGUUUUGCUGUCUCUUAUAGAUGGAUCCGCGCCGGAUUAGCUAGUUGGUAAGGUAACGGCUUACCAAGGCAACGAUGCGUAGCCGACCUGAGAGGGUGAUCGGCCACACUGGAACUGAGACACGGUCCAGACUCCUACGGGAGGCAACAGUAGGGAAUCUUCCGCAAUGGGCGAAAGCCUGACGGAGCAACGCCGCGUGAGUGAUGAAGGUCUUCGGAUCGUAAAACUCUGUUAUUAGGGAAGAAAAAAUGUGUAAGUAACUAUGCACGUCUUGACGGUACCUAAACAGAAAGCCACGGCUAACUACGUG
rnacentral:rRNA from 1 species